rnacentral:rRNA from 1 species
CUUUUAGAGAGUUUGAUCCUGGCUCAGGAUGAACGCUGGCGGCGUGCCUAAUACAUGCAAGUCGAACGGGAAAUUUGUAUAGAGAGCUUGCUCAAAGUACUUAUUUCUAGUGGCGAACGGGUGAGUAACACGUGGGUAACCUGCCUUUCAGUUGGGGAUAACUAGAGGAAACUUUAGCUAAUACCGAAUAACUGUUAAGACGGCAUCGUCUAAACAUAAAAGGGGCUUUUGCCCCGCUGAUAGAUGGACUCGCGACGCAUUAGGUAGUUGGUGAGAUAACAGCUCACCAAGCCAAGGAUGCGUAGCCGACCUGAGAGGGUGAUCGGCCACAAUGGGACUGAGACACGGCCCAUACUCCUACGGGAGGCAGCAGUAGGGAGUUUUCGGCAAUGGGGGGAACCCUGACCGAGCAACGCCGCGUG